CCUAACCACUCACCCGAUUCCUCUCUCUUGAUCACAUUAUAACCACCCACCGAUUCUUUUGAGUGAGUAUACUUGGGGUUGAGGGGUUUUUGAACUCUGUUCAAGCUUCUACUUUAUUCAAAACAUUUUAGUGGAUUCGCAUCAAAUCUUAUGAAAUCUAACUAUACUGUGUUACUUUCUUGCAGUAGCCAGCGGAAGAAAAUAGAAUUCAAAAAGUAUAAUUUUUCUGGUUGUUAUGAUUGAGAACCCCCAUGUACUUGGAAAGGUUCCUUCAGUACUGAGUGUUAUAAAUGCAUCAGAACAUUAUGAUUAAAAUGACAGUUUCUGGAACUUUGAUUCCUUGUUCCAGCCUCAACAACAUCCGGUCCGUGAUUCACGUGUCACGUUCUCUUUGGAAGCUCCUUCAAUAGCAAAGGAAUUUCCUGAAGAUUACGUUCAUCGGGUAAAGCAAAAUCACGAAUUUGGUGGUUAUGAGUCUAGAGGGUAUGAGCUUGAGAACCUUCAUUAUACAAAGCCUAGCAUGGAGAUUUUCAGGU